CUUCUUGGCUUUUGAACCCAGCCCAGCAAGAUUACCAGAUCUAAGGUUUGUGUAAUAACAGUACAAGUCAUGAAGCUGUGAAGUCGUUGGUACUGUUGUCAGUCCCUAAGCCUGCAGAGCAGUUGUUUUUUUGCUGUCUGAAACUGAAAUCUCAUCUGCAAGCCAUUGCUUCUAAGUGAGUGGCUGCAGGAACCGGAGGUGUGAAGCUUUGUAAUGACUUGCCAUAUGACCUCUCGCCUUGCUGUGCUAGGAAAGGAAGUAAAGCUGAGAAUUCCUGGUCCCCAGCCCUUGAUUUAAACUUCUCCAUCUUAAGGAACACGUCAGGUACCCAGUGUUGGUCUGAGCUGCAGAGAGCAAAAAGAGAGGGAAGAUGCAGACAACCGUCUGUAUCCCUAUUUGAGAAAACAGUUUGAAAUGUAAAGAAUAUUCUUCAUCAAGGAAGAGAAAGACUUAAAGAACAGAAGACUUUACGUGAAGCAAAGUAAGAAUUGGGACAUUGUGAAGCAUGUCCUGAUGUUGUUUCAGAAUUAAACUGUGAAGUGCUAUCGACCUAGACUUGUGGAGGGCACCACAGAAGCAUGUUGUGUAGUGUCUAUGGAGUAAGAUUCUUAUUCUACCUUGAAAGGAGAACCUUAAAUAUCAUGGAUUAAUGCCAGAUUGGUCAACGGAAGUUUUGGACCUUAGCUGCCAGAGAGCUGCGUGCAUGGUGUUACCAUCACAUCCACUGAAUGUGCUGGAGCUUUCCUGUCAAGGUUUUAAUUUCCUGCCAGUGAUUUUAUUUUUAAUUUUUUUGAGACAUUAGAAGGUCUUUAGCCAUGACUGUGUAUCAGCAGCUGAAAGAAUUUGUGAGGGUGAAUGUAACUAUUUGCUCCGAAAAAACCUACAUAGCUCUUUUCACUCCUUUUGACGAGUAUCCAUGAAUACAUUUAAGUUUUAAAGAGCCCCAGAGUAGUUCUUACUGCUGUAUUUGACCAACGCAUUGUCUGGACUGCUCUCCAUUUGUAAGUGAUGAGAGCUUUUCCAUGCAGGCAGCCCAACCACUGGAAGGUCAGCAGUCUGAUGCUGGCUUCAAAACCACGAGAUUGGGAAGAGACACAGUCUGAACCACGGCACGCUUCCUCCCCAGCGCCUGCUCUCCUGACUGCACCAGCACUGCAGUUCCUGAUGCCAUUCUGAUAACAAAAGCAAUCUGGAUUCAGAGCAUCCUCUUCGUCACUUGGAUCAGCCCAGGGAGCCGCUGUGCAGCCCAGCCCCAGCAGCCGCUGCAGAGCUGCAUGGGGGGCGGCAGGGUGGGAGGCAGGCAUCCCCAGGCUGCAGCUCCCCUGUCUGCUGCUGGCAUGGGUAGCAGAGGGGAUUCCCCUGCGGUGCCUGAAACAGCGCUGCAGGGAAAGAUCCAACACAUCUGUGGGUUAUAUAUUAACAGUCAGCAGUGACCUUCUUGCAGCGUGGCGGAGUAACCGUCUCACUGAAGCACUGAUGAAGAAGUGGCAGCUCUUUCCGCUCCGCAGAGCGCAGGUGUUGGCACCGAGCAGAAGGCUGCCAGACCAUUUCCAUGCAAUGAUACCGUUACCAAUUGCUCCUUACUUUUUAAAAUGUGAAUACAUUGUUCUGAAGUUUUCGGUACUGAAUGAACGGCUGUUUGUUGCGGGGAACGGAAGAGAGACAACAGGAG
ensembl:lncRNA